UACGUAGGGACCGAGCGUUGUCCGGAUUCAUUGGGCGUAAAGAGCUCGUAGGCGGCUGCUCAAGUCGAAUGUGAAAACUCGAGGCUCAACCUCGAGCCUGCAUUCGAUACUGGGCGGCUAGAGUCUGGUAGGGGGAUCUGGAAUCCCUGGUGUAGCGGUGGAAUGCGCAGAUAUCAGGAGGAACACCGGUGGCGAAGGCGGGAUCCUGGGCCAGUACUGACGCUGAGGAGCGAAAGCGUGGGGAGCAAACAGG
rnacentral:rRNA from 1 species